GUCGGCUGAGGUGAGGCGGGCCGGCGCCAUCUUGUGACCCGCCGAGGGGCAGGGCCCGGCGCCGGGUUGGGGCGGCCUCUGAGCCUCGGGACCGGGUUUCCACCUCGGUCGCUUCAGCACUCGCAACACUUCACCAUCACAAAUGGCAGGAAGGAGAAGCUUUAAUCCUAGUUUUAAUCCACUCACCAGCACCAGUCGGACUCCUUUCGCUGGAGAGGAAGUCUCUCCUCAUGCUCAUCCGCGGCCACUCGGUACAGCCGAAGGUAUUCUUUAUUGGCAGCGCUGGGUGCACGGGGGAUCGCUCCACCUAUCGUGCACACUGUUGGGCCUAAUUGU